UACGAAGGGGGCUAGCGUUGCUCGGAAUCACUGGGCGUAAAGGGUGCGUAGGCGGGUUUUUAAGUCAGAGGUGAAAUCCCGGAGCUCAACUCCAGAACUGCCUUUGAUACUGAGAAUCUUGAGUAUGGGAGAGGUGAGUGGAACUGCGAGUGUAGAGGUGAAAUUCGUAGAUAUUCGCAAGAACACCAGUGGCGAAGGCGGCUCACUGGCCCAUAACUGACGAUCAGGCACGAAAGCGUGGGGAGCAAACAGG
rnacentral:rRNA from 1 species